UAAAAGAAGUCAUAAAUGGUCUAUUUGUCAUUCAUGAAAUAAAUCCAUAAUUUCUUUCAAAUUUGUUCUGGCCCUUAACAAAUAUAUCGAAAAUACCUUUUAAAAUUGACUCAUAGUGCAACUUAAUAGAGAUUCAAUGAAAUAAAGGCAACAAAAUUUCACUACUUCCAUAACUUCUCAAGAAAACGUGGAUCUCAAUUUCUUACCAUGGAGAGUGCACCUAUUGGUAAACUUCGAGUGAGGUAUCCAAACCAAGAGAUCCAACUCUUCCAAAUCGGGGUGAUGCUUGUUGUUCUUCAGUUGCUAGGGGUUCAUUGCCACGAUCAAUUUAUUUCUCAAUCUUUAAAACCUAUUGAGUUUUUGCAGGGAAUAUUGAUCAACUGAUUAUAGGAAUAAAGUCUGUAAGGGGCACUGAAUUUGAUUCAUCGGUACUUCAGGUUGACCACUCUUGGUUUCAUCUUCACACUAAGACACACUCAAGCCUUGUCAUAAUUACCAUUGUAAUGUCAGUGUGCCAUCAUUGAACCUUGCGGACAGGGUUUUAUUUUAGGGUUGAAGUAUUGUUGUGAACCAUGGUGACUCCGCAAGAGCUUAUGGGUUGUUGUUAAUGAGAUUAAUUAUGGUGUAAUUAUUAGGCCGAGUAAGAUAGUGAAGAGUUUUAUUUGAGAUCCAGAACUAAUUAGCAACCGAUUUAAUAUGAUAAGGGAUAUUGUUUGUUCCUCUCAUCUUCUUUCUAGGGUCUAAACUCAUCAUCCCUAUUCUUAUCUC